rnacentral:rRNA from 1 species
AGACCCGAAACCCGGUGAUCUAGCCAUGGGCAGGUUGAAGGUUGGGUAACACUAACUGGAGGACCGAACCGACUAAUGUUGAAAAAUUAGCGGAUGACCUGUGGCUGGGGGUGAAAGGCCAAUCAAACCGGGAGAUAGCUGGUUCUCCCCGAAAGCUAUUUAGGUAGCGCCUCGUGAAUUCAUCUCCGGGGGUAGAGCACUGUUUCGGCUAGGGGGCCAUCCCGGCUUACCAACCCGAUGCAAACUGCGAAUACCGGAGAAUGUUAUCACGGGAGACACACGGCGGGUGCUAACGUCCGUCGUGAAGAGGGAAACAACCCAGACCGCCAGCUAAGGUCCCAAAGUCAUGGUUAAGUGGGAAACGAUGUGGGAAGGCCCAGACAGCCAGGAUGUUGGCUUAGAAGCAGCCAUCAUUUAAAGAAAGCGUAAUAGCUCACUGGUCGAGUCGGCCUGCGCGGAAGAUGUAACGGGGCUAAACCAUGCACCGAAGCUGCGGCAGCGAACGUAUCACCCAAGACAACUUUGCGGAGUUGACGAUUGACGGAGCGAAGCGACGUCAAAGCGUUCAUUAAAGUCGAGUUGGCUUAGGGAUACGUUCGUUGGGUAGGGGAGCGUUCUGUAAGCCUGUGAAGGUGGCCUGUGAGGGUUGCUGGAGGUAUCAGAAGUGCGAAUGCUGACAUAAGUAACGAUAAA